rnacentral:rRNA from 1 species
GAAUCCCGUCUUUGACACGGACUGCCUGUACAUUAUGGUGUGCUCUCGAAGAGUCGAGUUGUUUGGGAAUGCAGCUCAAAAUGGGUGGUAAAUGCCAUCUAAAGCUAAAUAUUGGCGAGAGACCGAUAGCGAACAAGUACCGUGAGGGAAAGAUGAAAAGAACUUUGGAAAGAGAGUUAAACAGUACGUGAAAUUGCUGAAAGGGAAACGCUUGAAGUCAGUCGCGUUGGCUAGAAAUCAACCUUGCUUUUGCUUUGUGUACUUUCUGGUUGACGGGUCAGCAUCAAUUUUGACCACUGGAUAAAGUCUUUGGGAAUGUGGCAUCUUCGGAUGUGUUAUAGCCCAUUGUCGCAUACGGUGGUUGGGAUUGAGGAACUCAGCACGCCGCAAGGCCGGGUUUCGACCACGUUCGUGCUUAGGAUGCUGGCAUAAUGGCUUUAAUCGACCCGUCUUGAAACACGGACCAAGGAGUCUAACAUGCCUGCGAGUGUUUGGGUGGAAAAACCCAUGCGCGCAAUGAAAGUGAAAGUUGAGAUCCUCUUCAAAGGGGGAGCAUUGACGCCCGGACCAGACCUUUUGUGACGGAUCCGCGGUAGAGCAUGUAUGUUGGGACCCGAAAGAUGGUGAACUAUGCCUGAAUAGGGUGAAGCCAGAGGAAACUCUGGUGGAGGCUCGUAGCGAUUCUGACGUGCAAAUCGAUCGUCAAAUUUGGGUAUAGGGGCGAAAGACUAAUCGAACCAUCUAGUAGCUGGUUCCUGCC